rnacentral:rRNA from 1 species
UGCGUCCCAUUAGAUAGUAGGCGGGGUAACGGCCCACCUAGUCGACGAUGGGUAGGGGUUCUGAGAGGAAGGUCCCCCACAUUGGAACUGAGACACGGUCCAAACUCCUACGGGAGGCAGCAGUGAGGAAUAUUGGUCAAUGGACGAGAGUCUGAACCAGCCAAGUAGCGUGCAGGAUGACGGCCCUCCGGGUUGUAAACUGCUUUUAGUUGGGAACAUAAAGAGGCACGUGUGCCUCAUAGAGUGUACCAUCAGAAAAAGGACCGGCUAAUUCCGUGCCAGCAGCCGCGGUAAUACGGAAGGUCCGGGCGUUAUCCGGAUUUAUUGGGUUUAAAGGGAGCGCAGGCGGAUGCGUGAGUCAGCUGUGAAAGUUUGAGGCUCAACCUUAAAAUUGCAGUUGAAACUGCGUGUCUUGAGUGCACACAGGGAUGCCGGAAUUCACGGUGUAGCGGUGAAAUGCUUAGAUAUCGUGAAGAACUCCAAUCGCGAAGGCAAGUGUCCGGAGUGCAACUGACGCUGAGGCUCGAAAGUGUGGGUAUCGAACAGGAUUAGAUACCCUGGUAGUCCACACAGUAAACGAUGAAUACUCGCGGUUUGUCCGUUAUAGGAUAAGUCGCCAAGCGAAAGCAUUAAGUAUUCCACCUGGGGAGUACGCCGGCAACGGUGAAACUCAAAGGAAUUGACGGGGGCCCGCACAAGCGGAGGAACAUGUGGUUUAAUUCGAUGAUACGCGAGGAACCUUACCCGGGCUUGAACUGUGCAGGAAGAUAGGGAGAGACCCCUAUCGUCUUCGGACCUGCAUGGAGGUGCUGCAUGGUUGUCGUCAGCUCGUGCCGUGAGGUGUCGGCUUAAGUGCCAUAACGAGCGCAACCCUUAUUCUCGUUUGCCAUCGCGUAAUGGCGGGCACUCCGGGAAUACUGCCAUCGUAAGAUGUGAGGAAGGUGGGGAUGACGUCAAAUCAGCACGGCCCUUACGUCCGGGGCUACACACGUGUUACAAUGGGGAGUACAGAGGGCAGCGACCGGGCGACCGGAAGCCAAUCCAUUAAAACUCCUCUCAGUUCGGAUCGGAGUCUGCAACCCGACUCCGUGAAGCUGGAUUCGCUAGUAAUCGCGCAUCAGCCAUGGCGCGGUGAAUACGUUCCCGGGCCUUGUACACACCGCCCGUCAAGCCAUGAAAGCCGGGGGUGCCUGAAAGCCGUGACCGCAAGG